rnacentral:rRNA from 1 species
AGUGAACGCUGGCGGUAGGCCUAACACAUGCAAGUCGAACGGCAGCACAGUAAGAGCUUGCUCUUACGGGUGGCGAGUGGCGGACGGGUGAGGAAUACAUCGGAAUCUACUUUUUCGUGGGGGAUAACGUAGGGAAACUUACGCUAAUACCGCGUACGACCUACGGGUGAAAGCAGGGGAUCUUCGGACCUUGCGCGAUUGAAUGAGCCGAUGUCGGAUUAGCUAGUUGGCGGGGUAAAGGCCCACCAAGGCGACGAUCCGUAGCUGGUCUGAGAGGAUGAUCAGCCACACUGGAAAUGAGACACGGUCCAGACUCCUACGGGAGGCAGCAGUGGGGAAUAUUGGACAAUGGGCGCAAGCCUGAUCCAGCCAUACCGCGUGGGUGAAGAAGGCCUUCGGGUUGUAAAGCCCUUUUGUUGGGAAAGAAAAGCAGCAGGUUAAUACCCCGCUGUUCUGGCGGUACCCAAAGAAUAAGCACCGGCUAACUUCGUG